rnacentral:rRNA from 1 species
UACAGAGGGGGCAAGCGUUAUUCGGAAUUAUUGGGCGUAAAGAGCUCGUAGGCGGUUUGGCAAGUCGGGUGUGAAAACUCCGGGCUCAACUCGGAGACGCCACUCGAUACUGCUAUGACUCGAGUCCGGUAGGGGAGUGCGGAAUUCCUGGUGUAGCGGUGAAAUGCGCAGAUAUCAGGAGGAACACCGGUGGCGAAGGCGGAUCUCUGGGCCUUACCUGACGCUGAGGAGCGAAAGCAUGGGGAGCAAACAGG